AUGGCGAAGUAUCGGUGGGGGAGCUCGAUUGACAAGCGUUCCCUCCAUUGGCUCUCUUGGGGCAAACUCGAGGUGCCGAAAGUGAAGGGCGGCAUGGGUUUCCGCAAUAUGCAGAUGUUCAACUUAGCAAUGCUUGGAAAACAUGGUUGGUGCCUUCUUACAAGACCGGAUUCAUUAUGUGCCAGGGUACUGAAGGGCAAAUAUUUUCUUCACACAGAUUUUCUCAAUGCUACUGUUUCGGCUAGAGCUUCGGCAACCUGGAAGGCAAUUGUAGCAGGGCGAGAUGCACUCAAUGUUGGCCUCAUACGUCGAGUUGGUGAUGGCUCAACCAUUUCAACAUGGACUGACAGUUGGAUUCUGAACACGACCACGCUGAAGCCCAUGGGCCGCAUUGGCACUGCGCUGCUCACAAGAGUUUCAGAACUCAUUGAUGAUUAUACGGGGAACUGGAAUGAACAAACUGUUUGGCAGAAUUUCUUGCACCCAGAUGCGGUAGCCAUUCUAAAUAUACCACUGAAUCCGGCGGGUGGCGAAGAUACUUUGGCUUGGGCUUUGGAGAAGUCGGGCAUCUACACUAUAAAAUCAGUGUAUCGCUCUCUUGUGACUCGUAACGAGCUUAGCUCUCUAGAGGAAGGGGCGAUUACAGAAACGUCAUCAGCUAACAAACAGUUGUGGACUGCUUUAUGGAGGCUAAAAGUCGUCCCCAAAGUCCAAGUUUUUUGGUGGAGAGUACUCCGCGGGAUAUCGUCACAUAAAGUAAAUGGGUUUGUGUGA
rnacentral:rRNA from 1 species